CUUUCACCUUUCCACUCCUCUCUGGUGCUAAGGAGCCUAAGACGAGAAGAUAACCCCAGUUGUAUUCACGGUGGGUUAUAUGCUUUUUCAUAUUUUUCCUAAUAUGGACAGUGUUUAUUCUCCAUCUCUCCUUUCACUUCUCACGUUAACGGCAAUGAUAAUAAAAGAGCAUCGAAAGUGAUCAAAGAAAAUAUAGUGAAGAAAGAAAGAAUCCAGGGGCUUGGAGACCAGAAGAGACUUCAAUGUAUCUGAGGAACUGAGUUAAGCCCUAAACACACAGACGUGAGGGCGAUAGGCACUUCCCUGCCAUGGUGAAAUCUGCAUUCUCAUGGAGAGACAGAUGGCAAACAAAGAAACAAGGUGAUUCCAUACAGGUGAGUUCUAGAAAUAAGAUGAAGCAGGUGAUCACCAUGGUGGUCACAGAUAGCCUCUUGGAGAAUAUUUAAGCUAAGAUGUAGAAAUUAGAAUAAUCUGGUCAUGCAAAGAGUCCAAUCAGAGGGAAUGGCAGAUCCAAGAGCCCUGGGGUAGAAACACGCUUAGCUCAUCAGGGUCAGGUCUCCUGGAAGGCCACUGUGGGAGAUGAGUUGCAAGUGAUGGGAGAAGCAUGGGGUAAGGUCCAGAGUGGGCAGGGGCCAGAUCACUCAGGAUCUUGCAGGCCACAACCAAGCUUGGGGAUUUAUCAGAAAGAAAUGCAAAGAUUGAGCCAACAGGAAGUUCCCUGAUCUGACUGAGACAGAAUCUCCCUCUGUUGCCCAGGCUGGAGUGCAAUGGCACCAUCAGGGCUUACUGCAGCUUCUGUCGCCUGGGCUGAAGUGAUUCUCCUGCCUCAGCCUCUCCACUAGCUGGGACUACAGGCAUGUGCCACCAUGCCUGGCUAACUUUUGUAUUUUUGUAGAGACAGGGUCUCACUAUGUUGCCCAGACUGCUCUCAAACUCCUGGGCUCAAGCGAUCCACCUGCCUCAGCCUCCCAAAGUGCUGGGAUUAUAGGCAUGAGCCACCAUGCCCAGCCUGAUUUAUGUUUUAAAGAGAACACUUUGGUCAUUUUGAAAAGAAAGAUGGUGCUGGCAUUGGUGGAAAGAGUGGAACUAGAGAGCCCAGGUUAAGUGAGAAUUUAGAGAAGACACAAGGUACAGCCUGCACAUGGUCCCUGUUCAUACAUAGUAGCUGUCCCUGCAGCAGAUCCAAGGGGGAUGCACCAGUGACUCAGUGGAUCCCAGGCUCACAAAUACCAUGCUAGAGCUUCCCAGGAGUCACGGGGCUGGCUCUGGCACAAAAUCCUAAAAAUCCAUAGCACGAUUUCCACGGUGAGUGGUAAUCUCAGGCCACUCAAUAGCCAAGUCAUUUCUGAGUACAUAAAAUAUGAGUCUCAAAGGAUCAAACAGCUUAUGAGGAACGUGUGGGUAAAGAUGGUGGUGGUGUGAAUGGGUGCCGUCUCUGUGCAGGGUAACAUGCUAAUAUGCAAUGUGUAAAUGCCCACACCAUUUUACUCAGCUAGUCCACUGCUGGAGUUUAUUUCACGAAUAUGAUCACAGAAGUACAAAACAGUCUUUGCAUAAGGUUAUUCAAAGCAGUACUUCCAGGCAAAAAAAACCCCAAAAAACCUGAGAAUAACCUAAAUGUCAGUUCAUAUGGGGGUUGGUUUAUAUAAUUUACACUAUAUGCCAUAAUAUACAGAUGUUUGGAAAAAAAGAAUAAAGAACUUUAUGUACUAACAUGGAAAAAAUACAAGAUAUAUUGUUAGAUAAAAAAAAUUGUUUGAAGUUGCAGUGGGAGAGGAAAUGUGUGUGUGUGUGUGUCUGUGUGUGUGUUUGUGUGUGUAUGUGUUUGUGUGUGUGUCUGUGUGUGUCUGUGUGUGUGUUUGUGUGUGUGUGUGUGUGUUUGCAUAUGCAUGAAAUAUUUUCGGAAAGGUAUGUGUUAAACUGCAAAUGUUGAUCACCUCUGGGGGCUUGCACUGGGUGGCUGGAGGCAGAAGUAGAUAUUUGUAUAUAAGUCUGUAUACUUUUUGAGUUUGGAACUAUGUAAAUGUAUUACAUUUUACCCCCAAAUAAAUCAAGAUUAUAAAAAUAACAAAAGUAGGAACAAGGGGGAAUAUACCUUAGGAAAGUGACAAAUUGCAACAAGCCUAGGACCUUUAGUGUUGGCUUAUAAAUAGUCAAAGCAAAGAAUAGUCAAUCACCAGGUGCCCUCUGACUGGGCACUGCCCUCUCUUUUACCUACAGGUUGCCCUGAGGGUGGGAGUAAAGGCCAGAGCCAACCAGCCACUGAAAGGAAGAGGGAGGUGGACAGGAUAGAGCUUCCAGUGGGAAUUUGGAGUGGAUCAAAGUCAGCAGGGCAGUAUAGCUCAGUGGUUGGCAUGUGCCACUGUAUUAGUCUAUUCUCAUGCUGCUAGUAAAGACAUACCCGAGACUUAUGAUUUAUGAAGGACAGAGGUUUAAUUGACUCUCAGUUCAGCAUGGUUGGGGAGGCCUCAUGAUCAUGGUGGAAGGCAAAGGAGGAGCAAAGUCACAUCUUACAUGGUGGCAGGUAAGACAGCAUGUGCAGGGGAACUGCCAUUUAUACAACAAUCAGAUCUCAUGAGACUUAUUCACUAUCAUGAGAACAGCAUGGGAAAAGCCCAGCCCCAUGAUUCAAUUCCCUCCCACCGGGUCCCUCCCAUGACAUGUGGGGAUUAUGGGAGCUACAAUUCAAGGUGAGAUUUGGGUGGGGACACAGCCAAAUCACAUCAGCCACCAAGGGAAAAUAGUGCUGUGUCUCUGCCACAAUUAUAAUGCAAGAUAUUCUGUACCACUGUGUAAAAAAUGUCAGGAAGAACUUAAGGAGGCCUUGUUCCAUAGAAAACACAACUAACACUCCAGGUGGGCACCCCUCAUAUACUAACCCACUUAAUCCUCACAAGCACUCCUCAGCAAAGGUACUAUUAUUACUUAUCAUCUCAUUUUCAUGUAAGAGCCAAGGAGACUGACUAAUGUGCGCGAAACCGCGCGACUUCCACGCAGAAGAGCCAAGAUGUGAAUCCAAGUUGCCGGGCUGGCUCAAGAGGCCACGUUGUUAUUUGUGGCGCCAUAUUGCUUUGUGGAGUACUUGAAAUUUGGGCACGAUGUCAGCAAACACUUGACCUCUGAUGUAGAAAAAAGAUCCAUUAAAUUAAAAAUAAAAAGGCAACUGCUCAUUUCUACUGCAGUUUGCCACUGUCUUGUGAAGAUCAGCCAGAUAUGAGAAGGAGCCUCAAUAACAAGAGUCUGUGAAAUCUGAAGGGUUUUCCAAAGUGGAUGAACUUUGCAUAGCAUGGUGGCUCAGUGGUGGCUGAGAAGACUGUGAAUAUGUUCUCUGAGACACACAGAGCCUUGGGGAUAUUAGAAAUCUAGUCCCAAAAUCCUGCUCUAGUGUCCAGUUUGCUGUCUGAGGACCAGUAACAGAGGCAUGGUUUCAGGGGGAGGACCUCACCUGUGCCUCUUGGUAAGGCAGGGUCUCUAAGGCGAGACAUUAGUUCUGAAAUGCACCUGCUUUAUGUCAGAGGCCAGAGUAUCAGCUUCCCAGCCUUCCCCUAAAACUAAUUACUGGUCUGGCAAGAGCUUGAGAGACUUGUUAACUUGAUACAAUAAAUCAUUUCAGGACAGAUGCUGAGAGAUAUAUUUGCUUCAUACAUUUUCAGUUUUGACUGGGGACCACAUGUCAGACUAUGAUGGGAAUGAAGAAAGCAGAAACUCCUCAUUCUGGCCAUGAAAUACCUUAAAUGAGGCUUGGGUGCCAAAAGAAAUAAGCUUCCAGAGGUAAUGCUGGGCUGGGAAGUGGGAAGGGUCCCUUGGUGUAAGAUGACAAACCCGUCAAUAUCUCUUUAAUUAGGAAUCUCUUCCUUGUUGGGGGAGAAGAAGGGGCAUUUAGAACCAUAAAGAAGAGGACUAAAAUAUUGACACUGAUCUUUAGUAGCUGUUGGGCUUGGCAAGUAGUUGAACUCAGAGGAGUUCCCCUGUUUUUCACUUUCAUGUUGCUAUGCUACAAAUCACCCCAAAACGUAGUGGUAUAAAACAAAAGCAAUCAUUUUAUUGUUUUUCAUUGUUUCUGUGAAUCAAGAGUCCUGGAAGGGCUUAGCUGGGUGUCUUUGGCUUGGGUCUCUCAUGCAGUUGCUGUCAGAUAGUGGCAGGAGCAGUCAGGGGCAGCUGGACACCAUGCUCUAUUCACAAGGCUCGGGGGUCCUCCUUUUGGCCUUUCCACAUGGGAUAGUUGGGCUUCCUCACAGCAUGGUGGCUUUGGACAAUAGGGCUCCCUCCAUGUUGGUGCAGGGCGCUUUUAUGAUUUAGCUUUGAAAGUUACAUAGCAUCACUUCUGCUCAGCACUAUGAGUCAACCAGUCACUACAGCCCACCCAGUUUCAAGGGGAGAAGACAAAGUUGCCACCUGUUCAUGGGAGAGUAGAGAGGUUCCAGAAGAGCCUGUGGGUUGGGGACAUGGAGAGUAUGUUCCUUGGAAUAUUUCUGAAAAAAGUACAACCUAUAACACAGAGUGUCAUAAUUUGAAAAUGGAUCAUAUUAAUACUCACUGUAUAGUGGAAAUGGGUGAUGGUGUGGACAAACUGUCCAACACUGUGCAGGUUCUCAUGGGCGCCAUGUCCUACACAUCAGCUUUCACUGCCCAGCAUCUAUUCCUCCUCUAUAGACACAUCCUGACUUCCUUUGGGAAAAUUCAUUUCCUCCAUGGUAGGUAGUCUUGAUGGGAUGAUAAACUGUGGGGCUUGCAUUUUGAAACAGAAUCAAGCAAUGGAGAAGCCCCUUCACCAUUUCAAACAUCAAAUCGAGGCUUGGGAUGCCAGAUCUGGCCCUUCGGUCUCCAGUAAAAUCUUCCUUCAGGCUCUUUCACAGCCUCUCCUCAACUGUUCCUCUCCCCUACUCUCCACCCACCACCCCAAUGCCUCCAGCAAAUUCUCUUGGAAGAGUUUAGUGUCUACAAAUGACAGACAACUUGGGCCAGGCACAGUGGCUCAGGCCUGUAACCUCAGCACUUUGGGAGGCCGAGGUGGGAGGAUCACUGAGCCCAAGAGUUUGAGGCCAACCUGGGCAACACAAUGAGACCCUUUUUCCACACACAAAAAAACAAAAACUAGCUGGGUGUGGUGGUGCAUACAUGCAGUCCCAGUCACUCAAGAGACUGAUAUGGGAGGAUCACCUGAACCCAGGAGGUCGAGGCUGCAGUGAGCCAUGACCGUGCCACUGCAUUCCAGCCUAAGUGACAGAAUGAGAUCUUGUAUCAAAGAAAAAAAAAAAAAAAAGUUAGGCAACAACAAUAACCUCAAUGAUCUUGGGCUUUAACAGUCAACGUUUGCCACAAACCCCUAUGGAGUCCAGGAAGCCAAAGGCCUGAAGCCUACUGAAGGUGAAAAGGAGGGACAAUUUUAUGGAGACCCACACAACUUGUGUAUCAAUAAAUUAUCCUGCUGCAGAUGCUCACAGAAGCCUGCUAUAAGUUUUGCGUGUGUGGAGUGGGAGACGUUUUUAACUUGUUUUAGGAGGGGACCCAAAAUGUAAGUUUAUGCCAUUGGUUGGGAGAUUUUAAUUUGUGGUAGUUUGCAAUCUUCAAAUAUCUCUUACAGAAGGCAGUUGGUCUGAGCAAUUUCCUUUAGGGAAAAGCAGAUUAUUUUAGCACUUCAUUCCUCUAAGCACUGUUGAAAACUGUUUAAGCAGCUAUGAGCACGUUCCUGUUCCAGAAUUCUCCAAAACAAAUAGCCAAGCACAGUUAUGUAUAUAAGGUAUGCAACUGAGACUGCUUAAAGGAAUACUAAUGGGCAUUUUAUUCACCAUUUUCAACGAUUUUGGGUUUUGUUUUGUUUUUUGUUUUUUUGGAAAGAGCCUUCUCGUUUUAUUACCUGCCUGAUUUACUUUUCUCCCCUGCAGCAGAGAGUCCCUGAAGCACGAUGCUGGCUCUUGAAUUAAGGAGCUUGGGGAUGCAGCAGCUGCUUCUGUUCCAGGGAGGGGGAAGAACAGGAGAGGCAUCACUCACUGUUCUAUGGAAGUGUGUGGAUCCCAGUCUCCUCCAAGAACGGAUGGGGAACACUGGCCCAGAGACCACCCCAUCAAACUAGAAGCUGGGUCACAAGAGGAGCAGGGAGAGAGAACUCCACGCCAGGCACCAGGAUCCCAAUUAGGGCUGACACUUACAGCCAUAAGAACCGGAGCUCAGAUGCGUGUUUAUAGCAUCUGCUGGAAAUACAGGAGCGUCUGUGCGAUGUGCUCUGUUUAGGAGGGCUCGUGUGGUGAAAAUGAGGGGCAGCUGAGUCUUUGAAACAGCUGGCCUUCUUUCUAAGUCCCUCCAAAAGAGGCACAGUCGAGUUCCCAGACAGCUGUUUUGCUGCAAACUCUGUACCUGGACAAUACAGGCAAUCAACCUCCUAAAGAAAACAGGCAUUAUUUUGACUCAAACAGGCCACUUUUGCACAUGAUUUACUUCCUGAUGAACAAUUUUUCCUGAACAAUAUACGUUUUGUUUGAUUUGCACAGGGAUUUUAAACAUCCAAGCAAAUGUUAAAAAAUUGAAAGAUUUCUGGAUUUUCAGCAGGUCUAGAAAAAUCCAGAGAUCUGGCAACUGACAGCCGGCAUUCCCACCUGGGAAGGCUCUAGAGCCUAAAGAAUGGAUGUGUCCUCUGAGAGGGUGCAGCCGGCCACCCUCCCCGCCUCUCACAGCCUGCAGGGCAUGGUCAUUCCACCCGCUUCCUUACCCACCUCCUCCUUUCACCUGUCCCUUGCAUUUGCGACUCCUGGUUAAAUGGCUCAGAAUUUCACAUGGAUGCCUCUGAGUCCAGCUAGCUUUGCAGCCUCUCAGCAUUCAGUCCUACAAUUACAAGUGUCAGUGACAGCCCCUCUAGGGGACUGAUGAAGUAUCCCAGGAAAGGUUUCCAAAAGGCAACGUGCAUCCCUUGAGUAAGGUUGAAUCACGUGGACAGAAAGUGUUUCCUUUUUAGAUUCUUUUAGAAGUUUUGAGGUUAAAGUGAAAGUCUCCCACAUGGCCCGUAACCAGUCCUGGGCACAGACACCCCCGGAGCUGCAACAAGGAGGGACUGGAGGAGUAAAAGGGGCACCACGCGGGGUCCCUCCCUCUCCUCCCGCAGGCCAUUCCUGGCUCCCUGCCUCUUCCCUGGCCCCUUCACUCAUCUGGUGCCAGCUUUUGACUUUGUUCCCCAAUUUCUAUGUUGGGUGUGAAGGCCAGGAGAGGGGUGACAAAAUAAAGUUAGGAAGGGCAGAAACUCGGACUAGAAAUCCCUCACAGCAGCUCCCUGUGCUCCAUGAUUCAGAAUGGGGGGAAAAGGCAGUGCCAUAUUGUCGUGGAAAUGUCUGCCACUGGUUUAUUUAUACUAAAACGCUGAGAACAAACAACCCAGGUGCCCCGCGAUAGGGGGCUUUCUAAAUAAAUUCAGGUCCAUCCACUUAAUCAGUUAUUUAAAAAGCUAAGUAUGGGACAAGCAAAGUACUUUGGCAACGUUAAGUUACAAAAGAGACGUAACAUAUUACAGACUGAUCUCAAUGGUAUAAAAAUACUUCGAUAUACUCUGUAAGGCAGGACGCAAUAAUGGUAAUAGUUACAUAAGAUAUGGAAUAUGGGUUUAAAAAACAUAUCUUUGAAUAUGUUUUUAUGAUUACAAAAGUAAAAUAAAGGCAUUAAAAAAAUAAGCCUAAUAAAAAGGUAAGGAGAAGAAAAUCUCAGCUUGGUCUGCUUGCAAGCUUGUCCAACCUGUAGCCCACAGGCUGCGUGUGUGGCCCAGGACAGCUUUGAAUGUGGCCCAACACAAAUUUGUAAACUUUCUUACAACAUUAUGAGAUUGUUUUGCAAUUUCUUUUUCCAGCUCAUCAGCUAUCGCUAGUGUUAGCAUAUAUUAUGUGUGGCCCAAAGACAAUUCUUCCAAUGUGGCCCAGAGAAGCCAAAAGACUGGACACCCUUGCACUCUCGUGUGUCCACAGCACUUCCCUGCACCUGCUAACCCCUUUCUCUAACCUCCAAGGCAAGCACACAGCCUCUUGCUAUUAACAUUAGCUAGCUAGACUUCAAUAGGAUUUUUAUGCUUUUUUUUUGUUUGUUUGUUUUUGAGACAGAGUCUCACUCUGUUGCCCAAGCUAGAGUGUACUGGUGUGAUCUUGGCUCACUGCAACCUCCGCCUCCUGGGUUCAAGCCAUUCUCCUGCCUUAGCCUCCUGAGUAGCUGGGAUUACAGGCACGCACCACCAUGAACAGCUUAAUUUUUGUAUUUUUAGUAGAGGCAGGGUUGGCCUGCUGGUCUCAAAUUCCUUGAACUCCUGACCUCAGGUGAUCCACCAGCCUCGGCUUCCCAAAAUGCUGGGGUUACAGGCGUGAGCCAUCGCACCUGGCCAGGAUUUUUAUGUUUUAAUUGUAUUUGUUUAUGCUCACCUUUAUUUUGUGCAACUGAUAGGCAUUUUCUCCAUUUAUUUGUGUACAUUAAAGUUAUUUUUUAAAUAAAACAUUUUUAUGAUUUGCCUAAAUAUUCAUUUGGAUGCUUACUUCCCGUGAGUGUCUUUAUUCUUUUCUAUAUUUGCCCAAUGGUAUGAUACCUCAGUUCAUGAGACCGUUAGAAAGAUUUACUGAAAUAAUGUACACAGAGCAUUUUGUAAAGUGCCAGAGACAGUGAAAUACACACAGUAUUAUUCUGUGUGCUGUCAAGCACUAUAAAAUCUACAGAAUAUUAUGGUUUUCUAUGUAAGUUUCUAUUUUUAAGAUACUAUAUUUGCUUCUGGAAGAGAUGUUAACAGUAGCGUUUUAAUAAGAAUGCCUAAUGAGAAACUUGAGACACAUAAGUGAACCGGUUGAAGUGAAGGUGUUCAGCACCUAACAGCACAGGUGCAUGUGGGCCAGUGGGAAGUGGAGCGGCAGGCAGGUGUGCCUACACCGACCCCGCUGGGGAGCCCGCCUCAUCAACAGCCUUAGGGGGUUGCAUUCCCAACACGGAGUCCCCCCUGAACUUCAGAGUAUGCCCACAGUUUAAAGAAACACCUAAGUUUUAGCAUUUUCCCUGAAGGAAUGAGCUUAAAGUAAGGCUCCAGGAAUGCUUGAGGCAGAAACCUUUAUCAGAUCAAGGUGCAACGUUCGAAUCAAAAGCAGCCAGGGUCCGCUCUUCCCUCUUGCCAGUGCUGAGGUCAGACUCACUGCUCGCUUCACUGCUCCCCAGCUACUCAGACUCACCCGGACACCUGGUUUUGAAAAAAGAUGCAGACCGAGGAAAGGAGAUGAAGGGGGAGGCGGAAGAUGCUUCCUAAGGAACAGGAGGAUGCCAAAAGAACCGCAAGAUGUGUUCCUGCCUUUCAGCACGCUCUCUAUGUGCUUUUCUGCCUCUUCCCUGCAGACACAGAAGCAUUUGCUUCAUGCUCGAUCCUCUCUGUCACAGGGCACUGACGGGGAAGGACCUGGGCAGCAUGCUAAUUGCUCUGUUGGCCUCGCACCCUGUAAAUACGACGUGCACUCUGGUAAAUUGUUGGCUGACUUUGCCUGACUGCCGAGAUGCUCAGACCUCUCCCAGGGUGAUGGGGAGCCUGGAAACCAAAUGCCACGCGGUCUGGUGUGUGUAUGGAGCAGGUGCUAGCUGUCUUCCUGGGUCUGAGUGUUUAUAGACAGAUGGUUUCAGGACCAUAACAACCCUGGUCUUUCAGAGGUUCUAGGUUACAGGGAGACGGCACUCCAGCAGAACAGCUGUUUUGCUUGACAGUUUUCCUAACAAAUGCUCUCUCCCCGUCUAAGAGGACAUUUCACCAGGGGAGGAAGCGGGAGGGGGGGGGCUCUUAUGUUUCUGAGAGUCUCAGUUUGGGUUCAUUAGAAGCCGAUCAUAAGACAAGGAUUCAUUUGCAAGUGACUGAUUAAGGAUGUUGUUUCCUUUCUCCCCACGCACCAGGAGAAACUGGAAAGGGAGAAGGGGAGAGGGAAAUAGUUCACAUUGCAGGAAGAAGCAAACAGAAGGUGUGCUUUCAAUGACCCAGCCUGCAGCCUGACCCUGUGGGAAGCUCUGAGUCCAACCGUGUCCAUGACAAUUCAGAGUUGUCUGCAGUGGGGGAGAUGGGGCUGAGCUUUCGUAUUCCACACCUGUCCAUCAUCAGCAAAGAGGAUCCCAGGAAGAAGCUCCCAGGCUCUUCUAAGAAUCCGCACAAGUGCACAAAAGUGAGGGGCAGCCCCAGGUGGUGCAGUGACGGAAGCAGGUUCAGGAUGACAGAGCCAACCCCAUGAUUACAGACUGAAUUGUUCCCUCCAAAAUUCAUCUCACAAAGCCCUCUGCCCCAGUGUGACUAUAUUUGGAGAGCAGGCUUUUAAGAUGGUAAUUAAGGUUAAAUAAAGUCCUAAGAGGGGGCUCUAAUCCCACAGGACUGGUGUCCUUACGGGAAGAUGAAGAAGCCAAGUUCAGUGGCUCACACCUGUAAUCUCAGCACUUUGGGAGGCCGAGGUAGGUGGAUCACUUGAGCUCAGGAGUUUGAACCCAUCCUGGGCAACAUGAUGAAACCCUAUCUCUACAAAAAAUGCAAACAUUAGCUGGGCUUGGUGGUGCAUGCCUGUAGUCUCAGCUACUUGGCGGAUCGCUUGAGAGGAGGAUCGCUUGAGCCCAGGAAGUCAAGGCUACAGUGAGUCCUGUUUACACCACUGCACCCCAGGCUGGGUGACAGAGCGAGACCCUGUCUCGAAAAAAAAAAAAAGACAAGACACCAGGAGCUUCUCUCUCUCCAUGCACAGAGGAAAGGCCCUCUGAGGACACAAGAUGCCGAGAGGGUGGCGAACUGCAAGCCAGGAAGAGAUCCCUCACCAGAAACCACCCUUGACAGCACCCUGACCUCGGACUUUCCAGAAUUCAGAUGGUGAGAAAAUAAAUUUCUGUGUUUUAAGCCAACCAGUCUGUGGAAUUUUGUUCAGGCAGCCCUAGCUGGCUAACACACCUACCGAGGGAUAUAGAGCAGUGAAAGAGAUUUAACGGGAACCAGGGUGGAGCAGUGUCUGCCAGCUGGGGUGAUCCAUUGGGUGUAUUUCCUUUCAGGACAAGAAUAAGCACAAGCGACAGCUUGUCCUCCGAGGCAGACCUCCCAGGUUUGAAUUCCACCUCCAGCUCUUACUGAGUGGGUUUGAAAAAUGCAUCAUGUCUCGGUUCCCCCCAUGCAAAUUGAGGUCAUGGCUCACUGUGUCUACCUCGAAUGCUUGAAGGAGGAUUAGAUGCUUAGGAGGAUUAUAUGCAAAGCAUUUGGAGAGCGC
rnacentral:lncRNA from 1 species